CUGUAGCUUGUGCUCCAGAGUCUGGAUUUAAAGACAAAUCACUCCUGUGAUGUUUGGGGUAUUGCUUUUCUACCUCUGAGGAAACAACGCGCCGCAGCUAAAAAUAACUUUGUAGCGUUUGUUUACUUGAAAUGCCUCCGAAAUUAAACUUAAGCCUGAUGGAUUAUUCACGGUUUAAGAUUUGGAUUUGCUGAAAGCUUAGAAUUUUAAUUUUAUUUUUAUUUUGCAUAAUCACCACUUAGGUUCAGAGCAUGAAAUGUGAGCUGCUGUUCUGCUCACACUGGGGUUUUUAUUUACUCCCCUUCAAACGCAACAUAAACACACCUCAUUUAGAGUUACCAAAAGAAAUAAAAAAUAUAUUAUUGCAAAAACAAAACAAAAAAAAUCUGGUUACACAUUUACUCCCUAGGUGCAGCAGCCAGUCACGGGAGCCCGUCAGACGUGAGCAGUCCUCGGGUUCUGAUGCUGGCGCGAUCUGGAGUGGACGUGCUGAAGAAACUCUUUGAGAGGAAUAAAAAACUGGCAAAGAAGCGGAGGGGUUGAAGGGAGGGAGCGAGUCAGACGGAGAGACGAAGGGGUUGGAAGAAAGCUUUGAGGAGUAAUGGUUGCUUGGAGACUGUUGUCAAGGAGACAGUCCGAUUUCACUUUUUAACCCCUCGGCUGUGCGGGGUCCACGAGAUGAGGUCAGACGGAGGAUGACUCCACGACCUAGAAGACUCUGCUAAAAGGAGGGGGGGGGGGGGGGGGGGCGGAGGUUGGAAUAAAACAAAAGGUUUUCAUCACACUUAAAACAGGUCAAAAAGAAAAAAGAGGGGGUAAAAAAAAAACAACCCGUCAGAUAACAGCAGCCAUGUGACAGCCCUGCUGACGCCCACAGGAGGGGAAAGAGGAGGGAACGGAGGGGGGGGAAGAUAUGACAGAAUUUGUUUCCGUGACACCCUAUCGGCGUCUCAAACUGUGACAGAUAUCCUCCCUCUUUGUGUUUCCCUGACGCUGACUCAUUCAGUGGGCAUUUUCUGUGGUUCUUGGGCAAAAAAGAACACUUCAUGCGAGCAAAGGGGGCGCGGAGGCAGAGGGAGAGCUCAGGAGACUCAAAGCCACCCACUGAGUACCACUGGAAAGCCUGUUGAAGUUCCUCUUCGGCUUCCACCGAAGACAAGACUAUUUUCGAAGGUCGCUGAAAAGUUUUCGUUUCUUGGACUCUCCCGUCUGGAUUUCCUGCCAGUGGGCUCUCCUGUGGACAAAGUGGGAGAGGCCGAACUUCGCCCAAACGUGACGAG